UUUUAUAAUAAUAAAAUUGAGAAUGGAAAUGGGGAAUGUGCCAAAGAGACAACAACCCGACCACAGAGCAGACAACAUCAGAAGGUCAUCAUCAGGUCUUCAAUGCAACGAUAAAUUCUCGCACCCGGAGGCGUCCUUCAGCUGGCCCCUAAACAAAUAUAUACUAGUUCAGUGAUAAUGAACGCCAUACUAAACUCCAAAUUGUACACAAGAAACUAAAAGUUAAAAUAAUACAAGGCUCACAAAGGCCAGAGUCUCCUGACUUAGGACAGGUGCAAAAAUGCGGCGAGGUUAAACAUGUUUGUGAGAUCUCAACCCUCCCCCUAUAUCUGUAACCAAUGCAGAAAAGUAAACGCAUAACAAUACGCACAUUAAAAUUCAGUUCAAGAGAAGUCCGAGUCUGAUGUCAGAAGAUAUAACCAAAGAAAAUAAACAAAAGGACAAUAAUACAUAUAUACCAUCAGACAACUAGCAGUUAACUGACAUUCUUCAGACUUCAAUUAAACUGAUUAAAAAAUUAUGUCAUAUCAUAUGAAUAUCAGGCCGA
rnacentral:lncRNA from 1 species